AGGCGUUCGGUCUCCGACCGCUAGUACAACAUAAGUAGCGUGAGAAGAAAUACCUGUGUUUUUUUUUAAAGGACGCGAGAUAGAUUAUGCAGAGGUUCCAAGAUUGGCAACUUUUAAGAUUUGUGGACUUCAAUUCCCACAAUUCCCCAGUUAGCAUGGCUGGCUGGGGAAUUCUGGGAGUUGAAGUCCACAAAUCUUAAAACAGCAUCCCUAAGGAUAAGUGGAGGUUUCUUAACAAUAGGAAGAGAUGACAUAUAAGCAACAUAGAAGCUGUAUUCAAACACAUUUAACUCCACCAUUUAAAAGACUAGAAAGCUGCAUUUGCACCAGUAGUGGGUUGCCCCUGGUUUGCACCGAUUCUAUAGAACCGGUAGUAAAACCGGUGGGAGGCUCCACCCACCAACCCCGACGUCAUCUUCUGCUUGCGCAAAAGAGCGAGCGCGAGAGAGAGCGAAGCAAGCACACACGUGCGGCCCCGUUGCAAACAGGUAGUAAAGGCAUGACAGUUCUGUGAAUGGUGAAAAUAUUUUCCUAACAAGAGCUGGCAGUGCUUUGCUUCAGUUGGUUCUCUUUUCCAAAGGCAGCUUGAGGAUUGGCACAGAAAAUACAAAACUGGCAAGAUUCCCCCCCCCUUUCUUUGAGAUCAUAUCUAGAGCAUGCUGUAACACAAAGCGUUUAUUUUACAGUAACUGAAUAAAGUAUUGUUAGCUGUCCAAAACUUCAA